UGUUAGAAAAAUAAUACAUGUGUACAUAUAUAUGUUUAACCAGGGAAAUUUUAUUAAUUUUAUUAUUAUACUCAAAAUUACAAAUUCAUCGAAUACAAACAAAACAAACCUAACAAAUUUAAAAAUAGCAUAGGAUCAGUUUCAAUGAAAUUGUUAAGCUAUAAGAUCAGCAGUAUCUUGUUCCAACUAUAUCAUCACUUAUCAAAUCUGCAAUCAUCGAGUGAAUCUAUGGAAUCGGCAGAGUUGAGCCAUGUGCAGUUAUGUAUGGUGUUCACAGUCUUAUAACAAAAAUCAUGUCAAUAAAAGACAAACACUAUACUACACAGGGUUGAUCUGCUACUGAACGGAAUCGGUCGAGAUCAGACAUAGUCGUAGUCAUCGUAACAAAGAAGCAUGUUAAUAGUGAAAAAAAACCGCCGACUUCUACACCUAACUGAUUAUUCGUGUGCAUCUGCAUAUGCCAUAUAUAAGUUUCCUUAAUAACUGAGACGAUCAAUAUAUGACUAUUCCUUUUAUUGAAUGACUGUUAUCUUCGUAUUUGAUCACUUAAGGAAGCCAUCUCAUUUGGAAGAAUGAAUUUCCCGGUGAACGGUAAGCACAGUUUGUCCUUAACGUACGUGUUUUGAAAGCAGAUUUCGAUUGUCUUCUCGCUUUUUCUAGGAUCCUGCAUAAUAAGUUCAAAUAUAUAUUUGGCGUUUAAGUAAUGUGGACUGGGACAAACCUUGUCGUCCAAGUUAAUGGCCUCAAUAUAUCCUUUGGAUAAACAAAUUAUGAUAUAGUCUGCAUGAUUGUAUCGGUUCUGCAGCCAAGUAUAUUGGUCUUGUUCACUAAUCAAUCCUUUAGUCUUAGCCAAAACAAACGUUUAUCUGGAAAGAACUGUUUUUACGCUAUGUCCUUGACGUUUUAUUUGUAUCCCUAAAUAAACAACAUCAGCUUUCGCGUCCUCAGUAUAGGUUAUUAAAAUAUGUGUGCCUGUAACAAUAUAUAUCAUAUUAAGUGAAUACGAUAAUGAAUAGACAUAACGAACACUAUAUGUAAAUUGUGAUAUAAAAAUUUGGUUGAGUCGAAUUAGGUAAUACUUAUAGAUUAUUACAUGGCAUUUUCGAUAUUGGCCCUGGUUUCAAGCAAGAGAAAAAAGAUUGCAUAUACCAAGUUAUGUUUGAUUUUGCAACAAAAAUUCAGAAAAACAUUUAAAGGGGCACUAGCUACGAGAUAUAUAAAAAAUCUAAAGUUUGAUUUUUUUCUGUUCAAUCAUUAAUGAAAGUGAAAUAGUGAAAUAACAAUUCGUUUUUUGUAGCCAAAAAGGUUCAAUUUUGUCAAACUACGCUAAUAAACAUUGAUAAUUAGUAAUUCACUUGCAAGUGAAUGAGUCGACCUCUUUAAAUCCGUAUUCAUGUGAACUUCAAUUUAACCCCUAGCUAGAGAUUGACAACGCAUGCAUUGUACGUGUACUGGUUAUUUAAAGAAAAAGAAUGUCAACAAUGAAAGUGAAACUACGGUAAAUCAUUUGAUUACUAAUUCGAUGCACAUAAAAUCAUUCUUAUACGGCUAAAAACAAUGAGAAACAUCUAUUUUUAAUCUAUAAAAUCA
rnacentral:lncRNA from 1 species